UACGUAGGGUGCAAGCGUUGUCCGGAAUUAUUGGGCGUAAAGAGCUCGUAGGCGGUCUGUCGCGUCUGCUGUGAAAACUCGGGGCUUAACCCCGGGCCUGCAGUGGGUACGGGCAGACUAGAGUGCGGUAGGGGAGACUGGAAUUCCUGGUGUAGCGGUGGAAUGCGCAGAUAUCAGGAGGAACACCGGUGGCGAAGGCGGUUCUCUGGGCAUUACCUGACGCUGGAGGAGCGAAAGCGUGGGGAGCGAACAGG
rnacentral:rRNA from 1 species